AAUUAGAUAUGCUAAAUUUAAGCAAAAUAUUUUGAAAAUAUUUGAUGUAUUUAUUCUCUAAUUU
rnacentral:tRNA from 1 species